UCUGUUUUAUCCUAGGGAAUUAUUCUCAGUUAAUUUUUGCUGCAUGAUAAAUUACCCCAAAAAUUUGAGGCAUAAAGAAAGAACUACUUAAUUUAUGAUUUGGUAGAUUAGUAAUUUGGGGUGGGCUCCGGGGAGCAGUUCUUUUGGUUGUUUGAGUUGAGCUCACUCAUGACUCUGGAAGUCAAUUGCCAGUCUGAAGGGGAUAGAGUUUCUGGGGCUUGCCUGGCUGUCAGGAGGAGCAGUUCUGCUCUUCUCCCUGUGGUCUCUGGUCCUUUAGCUGACUACCCCAUGCAGGUUCAGUCACAUGGCAUGUUCCAAGUGAAGCAAGAAUUGAAGCUGCAAGACCUCAUGGGGCUUGGCUCAGAACUGGCAUAACAUCAAUUUCUCCAUAUUCAUUUGUCAGAACAAGACAGAAAGCCAGCUGCAAUUAAAGAGGACAGGGACUUCUGAGGGGGUCACCUCCGCCCAGGACUGUGACAAAAUCCCAGUUACUAUGAUCAAAAGGUCACCUGAAAUUCAUGCCAAGGGAAGACGUCUUCAGAGCAUAAGUUUCAACUUAAAAAGAGGAUAAAUGACAUGCUUGAGAAGUAGCGAUAAAUACAGAAAAUCCAGUGUAGGACUCAUGGACAUUGAAAGAUGCCGAAGCCACUUGCUACAAAGGACAUUCUUUCUGAGGACUACAUAGAAUAGCGCUGUCUUGAAUGGACGUGAUUGGAUACUUUGGGAGCAAGAAGGAAGACUUCACUGUGCUAAACACUGAGCUAAAACGAUUGUUUGUAACAAAAGAUAGUCUACCUUGACUGAUACAGUAUAUCACAAAUAUUUUCUCCCUGAUUAUCUUUUAACUUUAUGAUGCCCUAAUAAAAAUGUUACUUUUACUGUGUUAAAUCUGCGAGUUUAUUCCUUUAUUUCUUAUAGCUUUGUCUUCCUGAGAAAGGUUUUCUCCACCCGCAUCUCCAGGGAUCAGUAUGGACUUGAUACUUUGAAAUUCCUCAGUGAUACACCUCUUGGGCAAACAAGCAGUCUUCCUUGGGGAAACAAGCAGUCUUCAGUGUUUUCGAUACAAGGCUGAUUUAACCAAGCCAAUAAACGGCCUAGGACUCACUAUGACUUUCUAGACCUCAGAUUGCA
rnacentral:lncRNA from 1 species